GCGAUGAAGGAUGGUGUGCGUUUCUCUGAUGCAACAAGGUCAUAUUUUGUAGGUCGGAGCUUUAAAGCUCGUUGGGACAACAACGUUCCACCUGCAUAACUAGAGAAAAAAUAUUAAUAAUUGUAAAAGGGGAAAAAGGAUAGGGACAGAGCACCAUUUUAUUGGUUCCGGUUCAUCGGAGUUUGAAACUCCUCGCCGGAGCUACUGUCCGUUCGCGGCGCCGCUGGCGUGAGCUCGGAGCUCGUUGCUCCGAUGGUUCUAGAUGGGUUUGUUGUUGGUAUCAGAUAAAAAUGAAAAAGGGGUGUGGUUGAGUUGGGGUUUUGUGGGUUGGUUUGGAGUCUGUUAGGGGGGUUGUUUGGUAGUUGUUUUAGCUGGAGAAGGAGAAAGGGGGAAAGGGGUCGUUUCGGGUGACUAUUUCACCGAAAAAA
rnacentral:lncRNA from 1 species